UACGGAGGGGGCUAGCGUUGUUCGGAAUUACUGGGCGUAAAGCGCGCGUAGGCGGCUUUGUAAGUUAGAGGCGAAAGCCUGGAGCUCAACUCCAGAACUGCCUUUAAAACUGCAUCGCUUGAAUCCAGGAGAGGUGAGUGGAAUUCCGAGUGUAGAGGUGAAAUUCGUAGAUAUUCGGAAGAACACCAGUGGCGAAGGCGGCUCACUGGACUGGUAUUGACGCUGAGGUACGAAAGCGUGGGGAGCAAACAGG
rnacentral:rRNA from 1 species